GAGGGUAUAACUCAGUGGCAUAGUGUAUGCCUAGCAUGCACGAAGUCCUGGGUUCAAUCCCCAGUACUUACA
rnacentral:tRNA from 1 species